GAGAUAUCAUCCGAGGUGUUGAAGGCUACAUCAUCACUGCCUCAAAGCAAAUUGAAAUUGGUACUAGGUUGUCAGAGGAUAGCCGAAAAUAUGGGGCUGAAAACAAAUGUACAAGUGGUAGUACGUUAUCUAAAGCAGCAUUAAGUUACAGUAGGGCUCAAGGUGAAAUUGAGAAGGAACGUGAGGAUCUACUAAAGGCCCUCGGGACGCAGGUUGCUG
rnacentral:misc_RNA from 1 species